GCAUAUCAAUAAGCGGAGGAAAAGAAAAUAACAAUGAUUUCCCUAGUAACGGCGAGUGAAGAGGAAAGAGCUCAAAGUUGGAAACUGUUUGGCUUAGCUAAACCGUAUUGUAAACUGUAGAAACAUUUUCCUGGCACGCCGGAUUAAUAAGUCCUUUGGAACAAGGCAUCAUGGAGGGUGAGAAUCCCGUCUUUGAUCCGAGUAGUUGUCUUUUGUGAUAUGUUUUCAAAGAGUCAGGUUGUUUGGGAAUGCAGCCUAAAUUGGGUGGUAAAUCUCACCUAAAGCUAAAUAUUUGCGAGAGACCGAUAGCGAACAAGUACCGUGAGGGAAAGAUGAAAAGAACUUUGAAAAGAGAGUUAAACAGUAUGUGAAAUUGUUAAAAGGGAACCGUUUGGAGCCAGACUGGUUUGACUGUAAUCAACCUAGAAUUCGUUCUGGGUGCACUUGCAGUCUAUACCUGCCAACAACAGUUUGAUUUGGAGGAAAAAAUUAGUAGGAAUGUAGCCUCUCGAGGUGUUAUAGCCUACUAUCAUACUCUGGAUUGGACUGAGGAACGCAGCGAAUGCCUUUAGGCGAGAUUGCUGGGUGCUUUCGCUAAUAAAUGUUAGAAUUUCUGCUUCGGGUGGUGCUAAUGUUUAAAGGAGGAACACAUCUAGUAUAUUUUUUAUUCGCUUAGGUUGUUGGCUUAAUGACUCUAAAUGACCCGUCUUGAAACACGGACCAAGGAGUCCACCAUAAGUGCAAGUAUUUGAGUGACAAACUCAUAUGCGUAAGGAAACUGAUUGAUACGAAAUCUUUUGAUGGCAGUAUCACCCGGCGUUGACGUUUUAUACUGAACUGACCGAGGUAAAGCACUUAUGAUGGGACCCGAAAGAUGGUGAACUAUGCCUGAAUAGGGUGAAGCCAGAGGAAACUCUGGUGGAGGCUCGUAGCGAUUCUGACGUGCAAAUCGAUCGUCAAAUUUGGGUAUAGGGGCGAAAGACUAAUCGAACCAUCUAGUAGCUGGUUCC
rnacentral:rRNA from 1 species